GCCUGGGUGGCUCGGUCGGUUGGGCAUCUGACUGCAGCUCAGGUCACGAUCUGGUGGUUUGUGGGUUCAAGCCCUGCCCUGGGCU
rnacentral:tRNA from 1 species